CCUACGGGAGGCAGCAGUGGGGAAUAUUGCACAAUGGGGGAAACCCUGAUGCAGCGACGCCGCGUGAGUGAAGAAGUAAUUCGUUAUGUAAAGCUCUAUCAGCAGGGAAGAAAAUGACGGUACCUGAGUAAGAAGCCCCGGCUAACUACGUGCCAGCAGCCGCGGUAAUACGUAGGGGGCAAGCGUUAUCCGGAUUUACUGGGUGUAAAGGGAGCGUAGACGGCAGUGCAAGUCUGGAGUGAAAGGCGGGGGCUCAACCCCCGGACUGCUCUGGAAACUGUACGGCUGGAGUGCAGGAGAGGUAAGUGGAAUUCCUAGUGUAGCGGUGAAAUGCGUAGAUAUUAGGAGGAACACCAGUGGCGAAGGCGGCUUGCUGGGCUUUUACUGACGCUGAGGCUCGAAAGCGUGGGGAGCAAACAGGAUUAGAUACCCCUGUAGUC
rnacentral:rRNA from 1 species